rnacentral:rRNA from 1 species
UACGUAGGGGGCGAGCGUUGUCCGGAUUUAUUGGGCGUAAAGAGCGUGUAGGCGGCUUUACAGGUCCGUUGUGAAAACUCGAGGCUCAACCUCGAGACGCCGGUGGAAACCGUAAAGCUAGAGUCCGGAAGAGGAGAGUGGAAUUCCUGGUGUAGCGGUGAAAUGCGCAGAUAUCAGGAGGAACACCUAUUGCGAAGGCAGCUCGCUGGGACGUAACUGACGCUGAGACGCGAAAGCGUGGGGAGCAAACAGG